GUGGUUGUGGCGAAGUGGUUAACGCACCGGAUUGUGGCUCCGGCAUUCGGGGGUUCGAAUCCCCUCAUCCACCCCA
rnacentral:tRNA from 1 species